AUUGAACGCUGGCGGCGUGCUUAACACAUGCAAGUCGAUCGGUAACAGGUGUAGCAAUACAUGCUGACGAGAGGCGGACGGGUGAGUAAUGCUUGGGAAUCUGCCUAUUAGUGGGGGACAACCCGGGGAAACUCGGGCUAAUACCGCAUACGCUCUACGGAGGAAAGCCGGGGACCGCAAGGCCUGGCGCUAAUAGAUGAGCCCAAGUCGGAUUAGCUAGUUGGUAGGGUAACGGCCUACCAAGGCGACAAUCCGUAGCUGGUCUGAGAGGACGACCAGCCACACCGGAACUGAGACACGGUCCGGACUCCUACGGGAGGCAGCAGUGGGGAAUAUUGGACAAUGGGGGCAACCCUGAUCCAGCGACGCCGCGUGGGUGAAGAAGGCCUGCGGGUUGUAAAGCCCUUUCGGUGGGGAAGAAAGUCUCGACCUAAUACGUCGGGACCUUGACGUAACCCACUAAAGAAGCACCGGCUAACUCUGUGCCAGCAGCCGCU
rnacentral:rRNA from 1 species